GUGGGGAAUAUUGGACAAUGGGCGAAAGCCUGAUCCAGCCAUGCCGCGUGUGUGAAGAAGGUCUUCGGAUUGUAAAGCACUUUAAGUUGGGAGGAAGGGCAGUAAGUUAAUACCUUGCUGUUUUGACGUUACCGACAGAAUAAGCACCGGCUAACUUCGUGCCAGCAGCCGCGGUAAUACGAAGGGUGCAAGCGUUAAUCGGAAUUACUGGGCGUAAAGCGCGCGUAGGUGGUUUUGUAAGUUGGAGGUGAAAUCCCCGGACUCAACCUGGGAACUGCCUCCAAAACUGCAUGACUAGAGUACGGUAGAGGGUAGUGGAAUUUCCUGUGUAGCGGUGAAAUGCGUAGAUAUAGGAAGGAACACCAGUGGCGAAGGCGACUACCUGGACUGAUACUGACACUGAGGUGCGAAAGCGUGGGGAGCAAACAGGAUUAGAUACCCUAGUAGUCC
rnacentral:rRNA from 1 species